rnacentral:rRNA from 1 species
AUUGAACGCUGGCGGAAUGCUUUACACAUGCAAGUCGAACGGCAGCACGGACUUCGGUCUGGUGGCGAGUGGCGAACGGGUGAGUAAUGUAUCGGAACGUGCCCAGUCGUGGGGGAUAACGUAGUGAAAAUUACGCUAAUACCGCAUACGAUCUAUGGAUGAAAGCGGGGGAUCGCAAGACCUCGCGCGAUUGGAGCGGCCGAUAUCAGAUUAGGUAGUUGGGGGGGUAAAGGCCCACCAAGCCAACGAUCUGUAGCUGGUCUGAGAGGACGGCCAGCCACACUGGAACUGAGACACGGUCGAGACUCCGAGGGGAGGCAACAGUGGGGAAUUUUGGACAAUGGGCGAAAGCCUGAUCCAGCCAUUCCGCGUGCAGGAUGAAGGCCCUCGGGUUGUAAACUGCUUUUGUACAGAACGAAAAGGUUUCUACUAAUACUAGGAGCUCAUGACGGUACUGUAAGAAUAAGCACCGGCUAACUACGUGCCAGCCGCCGCAGUAA